ACCGGCGCACGGGUGAGUAACACGUAUGCAACCUACCUUUUACCGGAGAAUAACCCAGAGAAAUUUGGACUAAUACUCCAUAAUGUUUUUGUAUCGCAUGAUAUGAGAAUUAAAGCUCCGGCGGUAAAAGAUGGGCAUGCGUCCUAUUAGUUAGUUGGUAAGGUAACGGCUUACCAAGGCUAUGAUAGGUAGGGGUUCUGAGAGGAUAAUCCCCCACAUUGGUACUGAGACACGGACCAAACUCCUACGGGAGGCAGCAGUGAGGAAUAUUGGUCAAUGGCCGCAAGGCUGAACCAGCCAUGUCGCGUGAAGGAUGACUGACCUAUGGGUUGUAAACUUCUUUUGUAUGGGGAGAAAGGUAUCUACGUGUAGAUAUUUGCCGGUACCAUACGAAUAAGGAUCGGCUAACUCCGUGCCAGCAGCCGCGGUAAUACGGAGGAUCCAAGCGUUAUCCGGAUUUAUUGGGUUUAAAGGGUGCGUAGGUGGCAGUAUAAGUCAGUAGUGAAAACUCGGAGCUCAACUCCGAACGUGCUAUUGAAACUGUAUAGCUUGAAUUCAGACGAGGCAGGCGGAAUGUGUAAUGUAGCGGUGAAAUGCAUAGAUAUUACACAGAACACCGAUAGCGAAGGCAGCUUGCCAGACUGCGAUUGACACUAAUGCACGAAAGCGUGGGUAGCGAACAGGAUUAGAUACCCUGGUAGUCCACGCAGUAAACGAUGAUUACUGGUUGUAGGCGAUACAUAGUCUGUGACUGAGCGAAAGUAUUAAGUAAUCCACCUGGGGAGUAC
rnacentral:rRNA from 1 species